CUGAAAUUAUAUGUUGCUGGAGAAGACAGUUGGGUGGAUAAAAUGAAGUGUGAAUAAUUCCUGUGCAGGCUCAUAUCCCAGUUUGCAGAUAUUCUAUUGGGUGAAAAAGAUUCAGUACCUUUUUGGUGUCAGUAAUAUAUAAACAUCCUAUAAGUUUCUAUGCGUUUUGUUUUCAAGUAAGCGAAAGAUGGUUUAACUUUUUUUCUGGCGGUCUGGUGAAUUCUUCCAUGCAACAUCGAUCCACUUUUAGCUCAGUUUUUGGUCUCCUCCAUCUCUAAAGGCUUCAUCUGGCUGUUUGGCUGCUAAACUCUCUGCUUUAUUUAAGAAAUGCUUCAGUGAAACGGUUCCAUUAACAGAGCAUUUUAAACACGCAUACCUUUUUUGUUUAUUACCGGAAGCAAGCGGAUACAAGUUGAGGAUAUUACACUGACAUAUCUAAGUAAGCAAAAAGUGUUUUUGCUUCAAACAUCUGUCAGUUUCUCUGCCACGGGCAAACUGAGCAUGAAUUUAAACUCACCCAAGGACAGGGAUCCGAGGGUUCGCAAAGAUUGGAACAAAACCUUCCUGGAGAGGAAUUUUGCAAACCUUCACAGUGCAUUUGUAUGGUGUCAGAACUGUUCCACAAUACAGUCAAUCAAGCUCACAAAUUACAAAACCUACAGUUUGAUCUUCUUUUUAAACAGUUAGCAGCUGGAGUGAACUUUAAUUCUAAAGUUUCUGAGUUAAAAACUACAGUGAAAAAAGUUUUUUUUUUUUUUUUUUUCUGGCAUCAAAGAAAUCUGUCCCUUCUGAACUUCUGAUCCUCCUUCUUCUUAAAUACAUUCCUCUGAAGCUAAUAUGAGGUUCCGGAUCCCACAGUACAACAAAUCAAGUGGCUGUUUUCCAGAGUUACACAAUUUUCAAGACAAAAUUCCUAAUUUACGAUACUGUCUGCUGUCUCUGAGCAGUCAGGGGAAGGUCAAAGAGGGGAUUUUACACAAGACGUCAGUAACAUUGGAAUAGUUUAUUUCAGUCUGCUGAAGUCUGGAAUGCAUUUCAACAUAUAUUAGAGACUGUUUAAUCCCAAAAGCUCCUCAGAUGUCUCCCUCAUAAUUUUUGCUUCUCUUCGCACAUUAAUCAUCGAAGAACCCCACAGUUAAAACUACCUCUGUUGACCAGCUACAACAGAAAAAUCCUAUGUAUAGAAUACCCGAUGAACAGUUCCUUAUUUACAUAUCCUUCCGUGGGGAGUUUCCAGCCACCUGACAAAUGGGAGAAAUAACUCUCAACAUUCUGUUUGAUGCUCGUUUUUGGACUCCCCCAACUCCACAGGGAAAUGCUCCAUGUUCACCUCACAAGCACAUACGUGCUAUUAUUUUUGAUGCAUGCUCAUCCAGGAAAGGUGAUUC
ensembl:lncRNA